GAUGUACUCCCUCCCUUCCGAAUUACUUGUCGCAAAUAUGGAUGUAUCUAGAUGUAUUUUAGUUCUACAUACAUCCAUUUCUGCGACGAGUAAUUUGGAACAGAGGGAGUAUGAU
rnacentral:pre_miRNA from 1 species